rnacentral:rRNA from 1 species
GACGAACGCUGGCGGCGUGCUUAACACAUGCAAGUCGAACGGGCCUUGUCCCCUUUUUUUUGGGGGUGGGGUUAGUGGCGAACGGGUGAGUAACACGUGAGUAACCUGCCCCUCACUUCUGGAUAACCGCUUGAAAGGGUGGCUAAUACGGGGUGUUCUGGCCUGCUCGCAUGGGUGGGUUUGGAAAGAUUCGACCGGUUUUGGUUGUUUUGGUGGGGGAUGGGCUCGCGGCCUAUCAGCUUGUUGGUGGGGUGAUGGCCUGCCAAGGCUUUGACGGGUAGCCGGCCUGAGAGGGUGGGCGGUCACACUGGGACUGAGACACGGCCCAGACUCCUACGGGAGGCAGCAGUGGGGAAUAUUGCACAAUGGGCGCAAGCCUGAUGCAGCGACGCCGCGUGAGGGAUGGAGGCCUUCGGGUUGUGAACCUCUUUCGCCAGUGAAGAAGGUCCUGCUCUGUGUGGUGGGGUUGACGGUAGCUGGGUUAAUGAAGCGCCGGCUAACUACG